AGGAGAUGUGGCUCGAUAAGAAUACUGAUGAGUUUUUUUUUUCGAUUUCUUCAAAGGGGUUAGCUAUUACUGGGACUGAUUACAGAAGAUAUUGGAACCACAUUUCAACUGAGGAGUCAAGAUUCCACACAGUUUUGCAUAUCUUCAAGAUAUUUGGUGGUUUGUAGUAGAUGGGGAGUUUGAGUUCGAAUUUCCGAAAGGGACGUAUAGCCUAUUCUUCAGACUCCAGCUUGGCAGGUCCUCGAAGAGAAUGGGCCGUAGAGUUGGUAAUUCGUUACACAUCCAUGGCUGGGAUAUAAAACCUGUACGAUUCUAGCUAACAACUUCUGAUGGUCAACGAGCAGAACCCAAAGCUUUCUGGAAAAUCCUGUCAAUUAAACGUGAUUUUUUGUUCAACAUCGAUCAAAAUUCUUUCUGAACAAUCCUGGGAACUGGGUUUACGAGGAUUUUAUUGUCAAGGUAACGAAUUAAUGAAGAAAUUUUCAAUGACUCAGAUUGAGCUCACGCACACCAAAGGAGAUCUCCGCGUUGAUGCGGCCUUUGUAUUCCCCAGUACUCCAGUAGCAUAGGCAGGGAGAUCUGUACAGUGAACUAGCAUGCUGGUCAGCAUUGAAGAAGAAAGUUGAGGCUGGUUUGUUGGGGUUUACAGAGUUUUCACUCAUUCAUUGUACAUGCUUGGUUCUUCUAAUUCUGCAGGUCUUCAAUGGUCUAGUUUUGUAGCACUUGUUCGUUAUGGUCCCGCUAGUUUGCUGUAUUGCCUGCCCAGAGCCUACUUACCCUUUGGUCAAUUUUUUGAAACAGAAACAGAAUCGCCUUCAUUUGUUUCUUUUCUUUUGAUAAAGGAAUUCUCGUCCUGGGAACGGCAUCCUGUUUUUUGUACAAAAAUUUGCAUCUGACUUGAGAUUUUUAUAUUUUAUGUGUGUUGUAGUUCUGUUGCCA